GGUUUGAAUGAAAUGGCUGCAUCGACGGAGAAAGACUCGGACCAAAUCAAAGAGAUUACAACGACAUGUCCAAUCUGCUUUGAAACUUAUAAGACUCCAAGGAACCUGCCAUGUUUACACACAUUUUGUCACAAUUGUUUGGGCUCAUACAUUAUUUCCACGUGCAAGAUCAAGCAGAAUCCGGUAGGAUUUCAUUGUCCGAUUUGCAGACGUUUUGUACCCGCCCCAUCAUUCACUACAGAGAUAGAAAAGUGGGCUGAACUCGUGCCUAUCAACAAAAUGGUGAAUAUGUUGAAUGAAAAAUGUUGCGAUGCAUGUAAGCGAGCAGACGAGGAGGAAGUGGCCAGUGAUUGGUGCAAGUCAUGUUUGGAAUCCCUUUGUGGUCCCUGUGCAAAGGCUCACAAAAGAAAUGUUUUUACUCAAAAGCAUGAACUGAUUCCAAUAGAGAACUUUCAGAAAGUUUCCGAAGAAAGUGAAAGUCAUGAAUUAGUUGAUGUCCUCUGUCAAGAGCAUAGCAAUCAAGUAGAGUAUCUCUGUGUUGACCACGAGGAGUUAUGUUGCUCUCGGUGUGUGUGCACCAAGCACAGGAAAUGCAAUCAAAUUGAUGCCAUUGAAGAAGCUUCAGAAAGCCUCCGAAAAUCCGAGAAAUUAGAAGCUCUAUGUCAAGAAAUAUCGCAAUUUGAAGAAAAACUUGUUACAGCUAAAUCAGAAGCAGAAAAGAACAUACGAUACGUCGACAAUAAAUCGGACCAAAUCAGAGAAGAGUCUACGGAGCUGAGAAAUAAAAUUGUGAACCAUGUUGAUGCACUGCUAGAGAACCACCUAUCUGAUCUGGCCCAAAAUGUAAAGGAACAAAAGGACAGGUUAACCAGUUUCGAAGAUGCCGUCUCAGACAGGCAGCUUUUGAUGGCUCAGUAUUUACAAACUUUGAAAGGUGCUCAGAAAACACUUCCACCUGUUCUAGUUCAUGAAUAUUUCAAGAUCAAAAGGCAAUUCCGGCACGUAAAAAUGUCAGGUCUUUCCAAAUGUACAGUAAAAUUGAACGCAGAUGUUUGCAAUGACUUGACAGGCAUCCUAGAUGUUACAAAGUUUGCAGAUUUAAAGGCAGAGACAAAGUCUAUACCACUGAAUGAGAUUGACUUGACGUAUGCCAGCAUGAAGUUAGUUUGUGAGCUGGAUGAUUCAAAUGGUGAUGUUACCGGUGGCUGCUUUCUACAAAAUGGAGAUAUCAUUUUGGCUGACCACAAGUACAGUCAAUUACUACAUUACAACAAUAGGAAACUUGUACGUAAAUCAAAUCUUGGUUUUCAACCAGAGGAUGCAGUUUGUCAAAAUUCUUCCUUACUGUUUGUUUCAAAAAACAUUUACAGAAAAAAAAUCUGAAUUUGAAGGAUAUGUUGGAAAAUUUAACCUUGACAGAUUUGAAAAUAUUGAAGGUCAGAUGAUGACAAACAGUCUUGUUUUUCAAUUAGCUGUAACUUCGGGGUAUAUAUAUGCUGCUUGUUCAAGUUUUAUUGUCAAAUUUGAUUCAGAAGAAAACGUUGUUCAUCGGUAUGAUGGAGUUGAGAAUUGGACCUACGCUGUAGCAGUUAACAACAGGGAUGAAAUAAUCAGCUCAAGUUGUUCGACACACCAUGUAACUGUUAUGGAAAAUUCUGGAAAGAAAAUGUAUUCAUAUUCUCAUGAAAAACUUAGAUAUCCACGUGGACUUAAUGUGAACUUUUCCGGAAACAUUUUUGUUGCAGGUCAACGGAGCAAUAAUAUACACGUUUUGACUCCUAGAGCUGAAUUACUUAAAAUUUUUGACGUUCAUUCACCAAGUUUUAUUCGAUUUAAAGAGAACUCUUAUGUGUGUUUAGUUGGGUCUGACAAAAGUACAAAAGUGUAUGAAUUUCAAGAAGAUUUGUAGUCAUAGUUUGUGCUUCAAGCACCAAAUCUUAGUUAUAAAUGUCUUAAAGAGCAUAUAAAGCGGAAUGAAACGUGAUGUUUGCCAAUAAAAAUUAUGGUGCAUGUAAAACAAGAACUUUAGAUCAAGAAAAACUUAUAUUUAAUAGAUAUUAUGGAUAUUGAUAUUAGGAUAAUGGGUGUUGUAAUAUUUGUAUAAUAUUUGUAUAUUAACAUGAAUUUGAGAUUU
rnacentral:misc_RNA from 1 species